AAUCAUGGCUUCUCCACCUGUUGAUGACAAUGAAACUAAUGACCAUGUUAACAUAAGAGGAAAAGCAAACUGGGAGAAGAAAGGACAACAUUGUUUUCGAUCUUGAAGGCCUGCGUAGACAUAGGACCAGGAAGGGGAGCUAGGAGUGGGAGAAGUGCCUGUGACUGAUAUAUGCACUAUCAGAUAGAAAUCCAGUUCAAAAGGAAAUCUGAAAUAGUGAAAUAG
rnacentral:lncRNA from 1 species